rnacentral:rRNA from 1 species
GCGAACGCUGGCGGCAGGCUUAACACAUGCAAGUCGAGCGCCCCGCAAGGGGAGCGGCAGACGGGAGAGUAACACGUGGGAACGUACCUUUCAGUUCGGGACAACCAAGGGAAACUUUGGCUAAUACCGAAUACGCCCGUAAGGGGAAAGAUUUAUCGCCGAUGGAUGAACCCGCGUCCGAUUAGCUUGUUGGUGAGGUAAUGGCUCACCAAGGCUUCGAUCGGUAGCUGGUCUGAGAGGAUGACCAGCCACACUGGGACUGAGACACGGCCCAGACUCCUACGGGAGGCAGCAGUGGGGAAUAUUGGACAAUGGGCGCAAGCCUGAUCCAGCAAUGCCGCGUGAAUGAUGAAGGCCUUAGGGUUGUAAAGUUCUUUCGCUCGUGACGAUGAUGACGGUAACGAGAGAAGAAGCCCCGGCUAACUUCGU